GUGGGGAAUAUUGGACAAUGGGCGAAAGCCUGAUCCAGCCAUGCCGCGUGUGUGAAGAAGGUCUUCGGAUUGUAAAGCACUUUAAGUUGGGAGGAAGGGCAGUAAGUUAAUACCUUGCUGUUUUGACGUUACCGACAGAAUAAGCACCGGCUAACUUCGUGCCAGCAGCAGCGGUAAUACGAAGGGUGCAAGCGUUAAUCGGAAUUACUGGGCGUAAAGCGCGCGUAGGUGGUUUUGUAAGUUGGAGGUGAAAUCCCCGGGCUCAACCUGGGAACUGCCUCCAAAACUGCAUGACUAGAGUACGGUAGAGGGUAGUGGAAUUUCCUGUGUAGCGGUGAAAUGCGUAGAUAUAGGAAGGAACACCAGUGGCGAAGGCGACUACCUGGACUGAUACUGACACUGAGGUGCGAAAGCGUGGGGAGCAAACAGGAUUAGAAACCCCUGUAGUCC
rnacentral:rRNA from 1 species